GAGGGGCAGGGCGGCCACCGCCAAGCCGGAGAGGCGCGGGACCCUGUCCAGACAGCUGCGUGGGCCGUGCAGGGCAUCUGUGUUUGUCCCGGUUGGGGGCGCUGGAGCAGCGUGCUCUCUGGGGCUGUAAUGACCUUGACCUGCGCUCCCCAUCAUUCCCCAUUCGCAUCCCCAUCACUGUAAGGAGUCCUUGGAUCAGUUCUGUUGCUCUCCCAGGCCUUUUCGACUCCUGCUUGGAUCCUCAGUCAUGGUGCUCUCCCGGACUUCCCAGUCCUUGUCCCGGCAACCUGCCUGGCGUCCUUUGCUCCUGGGGGUGGAGAGGCCUCGUCUCCAGACUGUUUUCUAAACUCCCCCUCCCCCAUCUAACUAGGACAGAGGAGGAAACAGACUUGGAAGUAGACCAAGUAACGGUUUUGGUGAGAGGAAAGUGGUGGUCUACCACCGCCAUCUUCAGGUUCCAGGAGGUGACUUCUCGCGGGCUGGGAUGAGGCAAAGGGUUGUUUGGCUACCAUUUUCUCUGAGAGACGGACGACAGGCUGCUUCCUCUUGAGUGCUAAUCGGCUUUUCCUUUCUCUUUCACAGAGAGCUGUGGUGUUGGCUUCACUUGCCUGCCAUGGGAACCUUUACCCAGCCAUAUUGGAGCAAAAGUCAAUUCAGCGGCCCCUGGCUGUUAGAAAGGCAGAUGUUGUCUUGUAAAACCGCACGUGCAGCCAUGUCUGUUAUUAACGGCUAGGAGCUGAUGUUCAUCAGUGGCCCAGUCAGGACAGAUCGUCAAAGAAGGUGAAUGAGCAAACACCCUGCAGCAGUUUUUGUGAAUGUUAAUACAUAUGUGACUAUAACAACACUACACGAAAUACUACUAGAUGUUUUCUGCAAAGAUGCACACAGGGAACUGUGUAGGAGGUUAGUGCAGCUAUAAACAGAUCUAGUGGCUCUUUCUGGUGACUGCGAAUCUUUUGCUUUCGGUAUACUGGCUCUUUUGCUUAAAUGGGGGAUUGCAUUUUAAGGCAUACACAUCAACAGUGUUUAGUAUGUUAUAGUUGUCUAACCACAACUACAGCUAAUACGUCAACAUUUCCACCCCCCAUCUGCUGGCACUCUAAUUCUCUUUUAGUUCUGAAUGGUACUCCAUUGAGUGGGUAGACCACAUUUGAUUAUUCAUUCAUUAACUAAUAGGUGCUGGGGUUUUACUGUUGUGAGUGAUCCUGCUAUGGAUAUUUUUUUUGGUAUGAAUUCAUGUAAUUUACUCUCUUUGGGGCAUAUACUAACGAAUGGGUUGUUUGCUGUGCUGGUUUCUUUUUUGUCAACUUGACAAAGCUGGGAUCAUCUAGGAAGGGGGACCAUUGACUGAGGAAUUGCCUCCAUCAGAUUGGACUGUGGGCAAGUCUGUGGGGGCAUGCCUCUUGAUUAAUGAUUGACAUGGGAGGGCGCAGCCCACUGUUUCUGGUACCACCCUGGGCAGGUGGUGUUGUGCUGUUUAAGAAAGUGGCCUGAACAAUCCAUGUAGAGCAAGCCGGUGAUCACUGUUUCUCCGUGGCCUCUGCUUCCGUUCCUGCCUUGGCCUCCCUCAGAAGCGUAGUGUCAUCUGUAAGUCAAAGAACCCUUUCUUCCCCAAGUUGCUUUUGGUCUUACUAUGUAUCAUAGCAUUAGACAGCAAGCCAGGACCGCUGGGUCCUGUGACAGUUUGAGAUCUUCUUGUGGAAUGGCCCAUCUCUUUUCCAAAGAGGUCUCCCUGUUUUCACUGACACCAACGGCACACCAUGUGACUUACAGUGUGCUGAGCGAUGCAGAGAACAUCAGCCUGUACACGCUCUGUCGCAGUUCCUGGCGCCAACCCUUUCUUCAGUCCAGUGCCAGCCAGCUCCCCAUCACUGUAACAGGUACCCGAGGUGAUUCGAGAGGCUCACUUUGGCUUACAGUUUGCUUUGGGGCUGUGGUAGCAUGCAUGCAUGCAUGCAUGGUGGAGUUAAAAUGCCAUACACUUCUCAUGGAGGGAAAGAAAAAGGAGAGGAUGGGACAUGAGACUGUCCUCCUCAAGGAUAGAACCCAAGGGGCAUGCUACUGGGCCUCAUCUCUUGAACUUUUUUUUUUCUUUUAUAGGAUUUAUUUAUUUAAUAUGUGGGCCAGGAGAGGGCAUCAGAUCUCAUUAUGGAUGAUUUUGAGGCACCAUGUGGUUGCUGGGAAACGAACUCAGGACCAUUGGAAGAGCAGCCAGUGCUCUUAACUACUGAACCAUCUUUCCAGCCCCUCUCUUGAACUUUUUACCACCUUCAGAUAGCAGCACCCUAGGGACCAAGGUUUUCACACACAGACCUUUGGCAGACCUUGCAGAUCUGAACCAUAAGACUUCCCUUACCCAGGCCCUGUAUCUUCCUCAGCAGAUCAUCUGCCUCCUGCAUGAAACAACAGACCGUGGGGGGAGGAGAGCUGCCUGAUCUGCUCACUGGAAUAGUGUUAGCACACUGGGAGAGACAGACUUAUGACUCCUGUUGCAGCUGCCUUCCCAUGGUUACCACAGCAAAUGGCAUCGUGCCGUGUUGCUUUUCCUCUGCUUUGUUUUGUUGCUGUUCACAGAUGUUUUGUCUUUUAUCGGUGUCUGAGUUUUAAAGCAAUCCUUAUAUCACAUCAUCUUUGAGUCUCAUCUCCCAGCUUCAAAAGGGAAACUACCUCUAGCAGGCAUCAGUGGGCUUUGAAUGUCUUCUAGCCCAGUGAUGUUGGAGCCCCUGUGGUUCCAGAUGUUGGUAGUGGAAGGUAUUUCCUGCUGGACCAUGAAGACCUGGCCCUGGAGCUUAAUGUGGGCAUUAAAGCAAGUGUCUGGGAUGUGUUGGAGUCCUAUAUUUGCAGAUGAGCCUGGUUUUAUUUCAUGUCUGUUUUGAAGGCUGAUAGCUCAGCCUAAGAUACCACAUACACCAUUCCCAGUCCUGAGCUGGUAACUGCUUUGCUAAAGGACUCCUUCAAACUGUAGUUUGCCUGGGUAAGUCAGUAUUGAAAACAAAGCUUUUCAGUUUCUUCCCAUAGAGCUGCUGCCCAGCCUCCUGUGGCUUGGGGGGGGAUUUAUUAUAAUGGCGUGCUGUUAGGCCUUGUCUAUCUGUGGGCUGUGUUACUAGGCACCCCUGAAACAAUCCCACUUGGAUCCAGAAGGCUUUUGUUGGAGGUUCAAAGCGUGUAAACUCAGAAGGUCUGUGGUUCCUUUGUAUGUGCUGGGGGGUGGGAUGCUUGUGGGGGAGAGUUGAAGUCCAGGCAAAGACGCUACUUUUGAAGUCACUUCAGUAUUGUUUGAGCUGCUUCCAAUAGUGUACUGUUCAAAGUGUCAUUGCAAAGUCUAGAAAUACAUACAGACACAAAAAUCACCCAAAAUCCUGCCACCACAGUGUAUUUGUGAUGUAUUUAUUCUAGACCAGUCCUUGUAUUGUGGCACAAAAGAAUUUUUGGGGGUUGAUAGAACUGCUUUGUAGUGGGGCUCACGACACAUCUGUCAGGACACUUUGAAAGGGUAAAGUUAGCAUUUUGUAAAUUAAGAGGACAGCAAUUUGCUCAUGAAUCUACGAUGUAGGGAGGGAGAGCUUGGGGGAAACUGUUUCUGCUCUAUGUAGUGGCAACCAGUAUGCUUAUAGGCCUGGGGGCUGACAAUGGCAGUUGGGUGGGACCUGACAGGACAGCUCAGUGCAAUCCUUGUGUGGCCAUCUAUACUUGCUGACAAUACGGAGGCUAUAUUUGCAGAUGAGGCCCCAGACAAGACAGCAACAGGUUUGUAGGAGCUGAUUUCAGAAGUCACAUGGUAUGACUUCCUAUGAACUUUAUUGGCUGAAGUGGGUCACACGUGUGUCUGACCACUGGAUGCAGGGAGUAUGGACCGUACAAAGGAAGACGAGUGCGUGAGAGGAUGUCUGAACGAUGGCAUAUCUUCAGAAAACACAAUGCCACUGGUCCUUAAGCUCUGUUCCUGGAGAAUUAUCCCUGAAGGCCUGGAGUGAAACCGCAGAACAUUAACAUGUUGUUGCUAGCAUUACUAUUAUGCUGGGAAUUUAACCAGAGCCUGGCAUAUUCUCGGCAAGCUCAUCACCUUGAGCUACAUCUUCUUUUUAAUUUUUUUUUUUGAGACAUGGUCUCCCUAAACUGCCCAGGCUGGUCUUGAAUACAUAUUGUGGCCCAAGGUAGCCUUGAACUCACAAUUCUCUUGGCUCAGUCUCUUGAGUAGCUGGGAUGACAGGCCUGUGCCACCCAGCCCAGAAUAAUCAUAUUUUUGAUGCAUUCUGAGUAACACUGAUGUGCAUUUAGGAUGGGCUUUGGCCCUUUGGCCUAGACCUAUGGCCUCUUACCCUGAGCCUGCGGAGUAUGGCCGCUCUCCUAGGUAAUGUGAUCCAAGACACUUUGAACUCUGUUGCCAGACCACCAUGACCAUAUGAUCUUACUUUCCCCCACUCUCUCUCUUGUGCGCGUGUGUGCGUGCGCGCGCGCACACACACACACACACACACACACACACACACACACACUUAACUUCCUGGGAAGGACCUGCUCAGUUUGGCUGUGCCUUACCACUGAGAUACCCCCACUUGCCAGGAGCUGAUGUCUGAUGAUGUGAAGGAAGAAGGCCAGACUUAAAGUAGGAUUUGUGGUGAGACUUGUUCCUGCUUUUCUUCAGGCUCCCUACUAUUUAAUUAGGCAACUAGUUGCUAUUCCCAAGUAUCUUGAGAUGAAAAGAAAGGAUAAGGAUGCUUAAUUCUGAAUCAGAGCUGAAUUUUCCAAUUGGCUCAUUGUUUUAAGGACAUAUGGGCUCUUGGACAUAUGAGUGCUGCAGGCCUCUGCACAAGUAGUGUAAAAUUCAUUUGUGUACUGCCCUGACUGGCUUCUCGUGUCAACCUGACACAGAGUCAUCAGAGAGGAAGGAGGCUCAGUUGAGGGAAUGCCUCCAUGAGACCCAGCUAUAAAGCAUUUUCUCAAUUAGCGAUCAAUGGGGGAGGGUCCAGCCCAUGGUGGGUGGUGCCAUCCCUGGGCUGGUGGGCCAGUAAGCAGCCCCCCUCCAAGACCUCUGUAUUAGCUCCUGGUGCCUGUCUCCAAGAUUGUGCCUUGUUUGAGUUCCUGUCCAGACUUACUUCAAGGAUAAACAACAAUUCUGUGUAAGCCAAAUAAACUCUUUCCGCCACAA